AGUGAACGCUGGCGGUAGGCCUAACACAUGCAAGUCGAACGGCAGCACAGUAAGAGCUUGCUCUUACGGGUGGCGAGUGGCGGACGGGUGAGGAAUACAUCGGAAUCUACUUUUUCGUGGGGGAUAACGUAGGGAAACUUACGCUAAUACCGCAUACGACCUACGGGUGAAAGCAGGGGAUCUUCGGACCUUGCGCGAUUGAAUGAGCCGAUGUCGGAUUAGCUAGUUGGCGGGGUAAAGGCCCACCAAGGCGACGAUCCGUAGCUGGUCUGAGAGGAUGAUCAGCCACACUGGACCUGAGACACGGUCCAGACUCCUACGGGAGGCAGCAGUGGGGAAUAUUGGACAAUGAGCGCAAGCCUGAUCCAGCCAUACCGCGUGGGUGAAGAAGGCCUUCGGGUUGUAAAGCCCUCUUGUUGGGAAAGAAAAGCAGCAGGUUAAUACCCCGCUGUUCUGACGGUACCCAAAGAAUAAGCACCGGCUAACUUCGUG
rnacentral:rRNA from 1 species